rnacentral:rRNA from 1 species
GACGAAGGGGGCUAGCGUUGCUCGGAAUUACUGGGCGUAAAGGGCGCGUAGGCGGGUCGUUUAGUUAGAGGUGAAAGCCCAGGGCUCAACCCUGGAAUUGCCUUUAAUACUGGCGGCCUUGAGUAUGGCAGAGGUGUGUGGAACUCCGAGUGUAGAGGUGAAAUUCGUAGAUAUUCGGAAGAACACCAGUGGCGAAGGCGACACACUGGGCCAUUACUGACGCUGAGGCGCGAAAGCGUGGGGAGCAAACAGG